GAGGCAGAACUCAGGGCGUCCACACCAUGGCCUGGACCCCUCUCCUGUUCCCCCUCUUCAUCCUCUGCACAGGCUCUGUGGCCUCCUAUGAGCUGACCCAGCCGCCUUUAGUGUCCGUGGCCUUGGGACAGACGUCCAAGAUCACCUGCUCUGGAGACCUACUGGACAAAAAAUAUACAUCUUGGUACCAGCAGAAGCCAGGCCAGGCCCCUGUGCUGGUCAUUUAUAAGGAUAGCAACCUGGCCUCAGGGAUCCCUGACCGAUUCUCUGGUUCCAGCUCAGGCAAAAUUGCCACCCUGACCAUCAGCAGGGCCCAGGCCGAGGACGAGGCUGACUAUUACUGUAGGUCAGCUGACAGCAGUGAUUAUCUUCACAGUGACACAGGCAGACGGGGAAGAGGACUAUGA